rnacentral:lncRNA from 1 species
CUGGACCAAAAGGUAUGACCUGAACCAUGUCCUGGGUAGAUGUUAAUGUUUCCUGAAUGUUGCGUUGUUGUCCUGCAAUUCUAUGAGGUCACUGUUGUGGUACUGGUACGUUGGAUUACAGAUCAACCCUAACUGAAAUUGGUCGCUCAUGUAAUGUAUGGCUGGGAUAAGUAGGUAGUUAUGCUCGGCCAGUACAUAGAUUGUUCUUACUUGACAAAUCAGGUUAUGUCUUGGGAGUGCACCUCCAGACAGACCGUCGUGUCCAUCUAGGAUGAGUGCCUUAGAGCAGUCAAUUCACAAGUGUAGUUCGGCCUGAACCAGGACCGAGUUUCGACUUGCUUGGUGAGGCAUAUGACUUUACAAUUUGUAUUCGUGGGACAUUGGGUUGGGGCUAAUGUAUUGGCAAAAGCAGAUUGAACACCAAGGACCAAGUCAAUGCAAGAGAACAUUUGUGACUGCUCGGCGCGCGCAAAAUACUGUUUAAUCAUUUAUGUGAACUAUUUAAAUAGUUCAAUUGUCGUUGACAGUGAUGCUCUAUUUUGCAAGCAGGGGAAGCCAGAAGCCGAGAGCAGCAGGUCAUGCAGAUGCGAGUGCCCUGCUUUGAUAUGGCUCUUUCGGGCUUCUAAUAGUUUGUAUGUAACAGAGCACCAUGUAAACCACAACCAUUCCAUGUCUCACCAUGGGCCAAGGGAAAACAAUGUAAACCUCGGGAAGGUGUACAACAUUAUUGGAAGCGUCUUCAGCUCGGUUGAGAAGGUGUUGUUCACAAAGAGGGCGCUCAUGAACAUAUGGUGUAAGAUAAGCCGAGAGCG